GAGCUCCAAACCCUAGCAGCGGAGGAGGGAAAGGGUUAGAGACAGAGUAGGGUGGAGAAGGAGAAGUGCUUGGUGGAUCUCAGAUGCAGGUCAAUGGGGGAUUUUAGAGAGAAAAUUUUCAAAUUACCGCCGCGAUUUCAGCGGCGGUUGUGCGGGUUCAUCGGCCAUUCAAAUGGCCGCCGCGGAUCUCGCCCCCGUUACGCUCGAGAAGGUGCAGCCAAGGAUUCC
rnacentral:lncRNA from 1 species